GCAGACACUGGGAGCCCACUGACAAUCAGUGUGGAAAACAGCAACUGUCAUCCAUCUGGAAGCUUGCCAUUUAAGGUCACUAAGUGCAUUUAAGUUUGAGUUGGUGUCAUCAGAUUUUAUGUAUUAAAAUGUAAGAUAGAGAUUCACUGGGACCAUGCGACUUGGUUGGGUCUGGUUUCUUGCUUGGAUCGAAGCUUUGCUCCCAGGUUUGAUCUUAAAAACAAACCUCAUAUGAAGGGGACUCAUGAGGGACAGGAGCUGCCAAUCAGGUCAGGAUCAUUAGCAGGUGCGGCUGGCAGGCCUGAUUCACCAUAGCUGCCGCUCAUCAGGUUCAUCAAGGGAACUGCUCAAAAGACUGGGUGAGGCUGUGGAAAGUCGCCGGUUUGUUCUCCACGUAUCUAUGGUAAACUAGCUCCUUAGUUCAGGCUUUCCCCUCCUUCCUCUGGACUCUGUAGCUCACCUUGCGAAGCCUCCACUUUGGAAUUAGCUGCUGGAACAUACCUUUCACCUCAGAAAGCACUACUCUGUCUGUCUGCCCUCUGCUUGCUUGUCCACCGCUCCUCAAAGACAAGAAACACAAAGAGCAAACCACCCUUUCCCACUCGAACAUGCCAACCUCAGACCUGUCAGAUACUCUGCACCCUCUCCUCUGGAACUUCUUACCUAAAGACCAUGAUUAACUUCUGGUCAGACAAAUAUCCUGUGAGAAUUCAGGUUGAAUGUUCUAAUAUCUGUGGAAAAUGUUCGCUGUGGUGUGGAGAGGUCUGCCAGGCCCCUGGUUGAUGAAACUGUUUGUUUGAGGAGAGUUCUCGCUGAACCUCCUGGACGGUAGCUUGACGCACAAGCUCACGAGGGCAGCUCCCUGCCUGCCAAAGUCAACAAGCAUAGACAGAUCACCCUUAAUUGCCAAAGAAGAAUGGCACCACUGUGCUGUGCAGAACACAAUGACACCAAAUGAUCACACAAAGGAGCUUUUCAUUAACACCUGGGGUUUGCAAAAGCACAAAGCAAAGCAAGAGGACAAAUAGGUUGAGGUCAGUGAAUGGAACAUGGACCCUUUGUGCUCCAUUCAUUAUCUGUAUGUCUUCAUACAGUUAUACUUUUAAAUUAGUGCAACAAUGCCAAAUGUUCAAGUAAAAACCAGCCCAAAAUUCUAAUAUUGCCAGAAAACCCAUUCUCAAAAAUGUUGGGACUUUUUUCCAAAAUCAAAUACAAAAAUAAAUAUUAUUUAUAUUUUAAUUUUUUCACUUGAGAAAAACACCAUAGUUUGAUGGUAAUAAUAUGUUUUAAAGAAAAUAUUAUUCCAAAUGCCGCCAAAUUCAUGUACCAUAUCAUUUUUUACUUAUAAUAUUUUUAUCUAUUGCAUUUAUUAUCUAAACCUAAGGAAAAAAAAUGAAAUUGUUAUGAUUCUGGCACGUCUGCUCUACCCUUUCUCCCUGGCUGCAAUCAGCAGAUGAGAUGCACCUGGUGGCUGCUACAGU